ACGCAGCACAGUCUGGAGGUGGAAAGUUGCCAUGAUGAAAGCCAUUUUCUUGAUGCUGAAUCUAUGAUUGCAAGGUCUCCAAUGAGCUCUGGAGGGGGUAUCCAUGAAACACCACGAUUUCGUCUGGACCUGGAGAAAGUGAGCAGAUCGGAUGCCAGACUUUUCGAAUGUUACAUCCUGGUGUGCUGGUUGAGCCCAAGACGGAGAGAUGACCUGCUGACUCAUCGGUUGGGGCGACUGAAGUUUCUGCAAGUUUUUGAGCAGACUGGCUGAGUUCAAACACAACCAGAAGACAAGUUAAACACAGUGGGAGCAUGUAGUUGUUAAACAAAAGAGGCCCCAGGAUGGAACCUUGGGGAACUCCAAGAAAAGAUUGUGCUGUGGAAAACAUCCUGCCUUGCUCAGGUACCUAAAAAAUCCCAACCAUCUAAACCAAAUCACUACAGACCUAACAUCUCACAUCAUGAAAGUCCUACAGAGACUGUUAUAGGCUCACAUCAAUAAGCAGGUGAACACCUUUUCAGGAUCCAUUACAGUUUGCUUAUGGUAAUGGUCUUGGGGUGGAAGAUGCCAAGAAGUUCUUCACAAGAAGUAAGUACAUAUAAUUGGUCAGUGAAUUUGUGAGGUGAUGCAGAAACAAUCACCUCAUCUGGAACACAAACAAAACGAAAGAGAUGAUUAUUGACUUCAGGAGGAACAGGAGUAAACAAAGCUGUUUACAUCCUGGGAGAAGAGGUGAAGUUGGUGGAGGAGUACAAGUACCUUGGAGUUCAACUGGGCAACAGACAAGACUGUAAAUACAACAAAGAGGCAUGUACAAGAAGGGACUGACCAGACUAAGGAAGCUAAGAACAUUCAAUGUCCGCACCAAGAUGUUGCAUAUCCUCUAUAGAUCUUUUGUGUAAAGUGCAGUCAGCUUUGCAACAUCUGUUAAGGCAGCAGCAUGUCAUGCUCCGUGGUUCGGAGCCGGCUUUUCCCAGCUACCCUGAAGGCAUCUUCCCCGCACGCUGGCUUGAUUACUGAUGCGCUCCACCUGCGCUGAGCACUUUAUAUACCUGCCUGUUUCAUCUCUCAGUUGCCAGAUCGUCUUGGUUCUACCCUGUACGCUUCCAGCCCUUAUUUCUCAGCCUGUUUGCCCGUCUGUUGUUGACCCGUUUGCCUUGGAUUUGGAUUCUGCCUCAGCCUGCCCCUGUCUGGUACUCUGCCUGUCUCUGUUUGGAUCUCCUGGCUCUGGACCUCUGGAAUCGAUUAUUGGACUUGGAUUACGGAUUACGGACUACUCCCCCUAACCCCCACGAGGAUUCUCGUUUCCCACUCUGUCAGCCUGGCCGGCAGUUCAACCUAUCCAGAUACUAACCCCUCUUUUGCUCAGCAGCUUCUCCUACAGCACGCAGCAGAUUUCCCCCCCGGAUUCCCGUGGCUCUGAGCUUGAGGAUUCCUCCCUCUCCCGCUGGACCUCACUCUGCUGGUACGUCAGCCACACCAUUACGCACUGUAACCUGCCGCCCCCUGCUUACUAACAUCUGUCUCCAUAUUCACAGAAGCCUGAACUUAGAAGACCCGGAUUGCACAUUCCUUACAUUGUAAACAAAUAAAAGUUUGUACCCAU